rnacentral:rRNA from 1 species
GACGAACGCUGGCGGCGUGCUUAACACAUGCAAGUCGAACGGAAAGGCCUCUUUCGGGGGGUACUCGAGUGGCGAACGGGUGAGUAACACGUGAGUAACCUGCCCUUGACUUUGGGAUAACUUCAGGAAACUGGGGCUAAUACCGGAUAGGAGCUCCUGCUGCAUGGUGGGGGUUGGAAAGUUUAGGCGGUUAGGGAUGGACCCGCGGCGUAUCAGCUUGUUGGUGGGGUAGUGGCUUACCAAGGCUUUGACGGGUAGCCGGCCUGAGAGGGUGACCGGCCGCAUUGGGACUGAGAUACGGCCCAGACGCCUACGGGAAGCAGCAGUGGGGAAUAUUGCACAAUGAGUGGAAGCCUGAUGCAGCAACGCCGUGAGCGGGAUGACGGCCUUCUGGUUGUAAACCGCUUUCGCUCAUGACGAAGCUUUGUGUGACGGUAGUGGGUAAAGAAGCACCGGCUAACUACGUG